rnacentral:rRNA from 1 species
CGAAAGCCUGACGGAGCAAGACCGCGUGGGGGAGGAAGGCUCUAGGGUUGUAAACCCCUUUUCUUUGGGAAGAACAAAAUGACGGUACCAAAGGAAUCAGCCUCGGCUAACUCCGUGCCAGCAGCCGCGGUAAUACGGAGGAGGCAAGCGUUAUCCGGAAUGAUUGGGCGUAAAGCGUCCGCAGGUGGCAAUGUAAGUCUGCUGUCAAAACCCAGGGCUCAACUCUGGUCAGGCAGUGGAAACUGACAGGCUAGAGUGCAGGAGGGGUAGAGGGAAUUCCCGGUGUAGCGGUGAAAUGCGUAGAUAUCGGGAAGAACACCGGUGGCGAAAGCGCUCUGCUGGGCCGCAACUGACACUGAGGGACGAAAGCUAGGGGAGCG